AUGCAGUAUGCACUAUAUGGACAAAAUUCAUAUAAAAUGUUAAAACUUCCCAAAUUACCAUCACCCUAAUGGACUGCUCUGCCUUUCAGCAGAUAUAUAUAUAUAUAGUUUAGUUUUAUCUCUAAGUGAUAUGUACAAUGCAACCCUGAUAUAAUUCUCUCUCCUCCUCCUCUCUCUCUCAUAGCUGAAUUGGGAAACUUUCUCCACGUCCGCUAUGCUUACAAUUAAGCAAUUUUUGCCUUAAAUUAAUCAUUUGCAUUAAAGACCUGGCAAUUUUCAGUUGAGUGAAUAUCCCUUUAAAUGCCACACUUGGAAAUUAGAAUGGACUCUGGGUGCUCAAGGCAACAUGCACUUUGCAUUUAUUCAAAUUCGUUUAGCCAUAACUCUUUAAGUAAGUCCAGGAUUCACAGCGUGGCUAGAUAAUACAUAACCACCUUCCCCCCCACCCCCCCAAUCAAGAAAUACAUUUUUCAACUUUAUAUUGCAGUUUGGAUCUAAAUGUACUUUUGUGAAGAUAAUGUAUCCUCUCUUAUAUUAUAACUCAAAUAUUCCAC